rnacentral:rRNA from 1 species
AGCGGCGGACGGGUGAGUAACGCGUGGGUAACCUGCCUCAUACAGGGGGAUAACAGUUGGAAACGGCUGCUAAUACCGCAUAAGCGCACAGUACCGCAUGGUACCGUGUGAAAAACUCCGGUGGUAUGAGAUGGACCCGCGUCUGAUUAGCUAGUUGGUGGGGUAACGGCCUACCAAGGCGACGAUCAGUAGCCGCCUGAGAGGGUGACGGCCACAUUGGGACUGAGACACGGCCCAA